UACGUAGGUGGCAAGCGUUGUCCGGAUUUACUGGGCGUAAAGCGCGCGCAGGCGGAUGGUUAAGUAGGAAGUGAAAGGUUGGAGCUCAACUCCAACACUGCUCCCUAUACUGGCUAUCUUGAGUCCCGGAGAGGAAAGCGGAACGACACGUGUAGCGGUGAAAUGCGUUGAUAUGUGUCGGAACACCAAUGGCGAAGGCAGCUUUCUGGACGGGCACUGACGCUCAGGCGCGAAAGCCGAGGUAGCGAACAGG
rnacentral:rRNA from 1 species